AAAAGAUUGGGAAAUUUAAUUGGGAAGACAUAGUAACAAAGGGUUUUAAUGAAGAAAAGAUUCCUAUAUGGAUUUUAAAGCCAUCCCAGAUACUAAAACUAGGCCUAGCACAUCCUAAUACAGCCAAGAAACUGAAAAGAUCACCUGAACCAUCAGUUGAAGUAACUCAUCCCGCCAAUGGAAAGAAAUGGACAGAAGAAAUACCCUUUGCUCAACAAAAAGAGGAUGGUACACCAGUGGUAACCAUGCCACUUAACCUCUUCUUAGAUGACACAUCUACACAUAAGAGCAAGCGCUGGUUGCCACUGCAUUGUGUUCAGAUGCA